GAGAUAACUCCUACGGGAGGCAGCAGUGGGGAAUCUUGCGCAAUGGGCGAAAGCCUGACGCAGCCAUGCCGCGUGAAUGAUGAAGGUCUUAGGAUUGUAAAAUUCUUUCACCGGGGACGAUAAUGACGGUACCCGGAGAAGAAGCCCCGGCUAACUUCGUGCCAGCAGCCGCGGUAAUACGAAGGGGGCUAGCGUUGCUCGGAAUUACUGGGCGUAAAGGGAGCGUAGGCGGACAUUUAAGUCAGGGGUGAAAUCCCGGGGCUCAACCUCGGAAUUGCCUUUGAUACUGGGUGUCUUGAGUAUGAGAGAGGUGUGUGGAACUCCGAGUGUAGAGGUGAAAUUCGUAGAUAUUCGGAAGAACACCAGUGGCGAAGGCGACACACUGGCUCAUUACUGACGCUGAGGCUCGAAAGCGUGGGGAGCAAACAGGAUUAGAAACCCUUGUAGUCCUCCACU
rnacentral:rRNA from 1 species